GAUGAACGCUGGCGGCGUGCCUAAUACAUGCAAGUCGAGCGAACGGACGAUAAGCUUGCUUCUCUGAUGUUAGCGGCGGACGGGUGUGUAACACGUGGAUAACCUACCUAUAAGACUGGGAUAAUUUCGGGAAACCGGAGCUAAUACCGUAUAAUAUUUUGAACCGUAUUGUUCAAAAGUGAAAGACGGCCUUGCUGUCACUAAUAGAUGGAUCCGCGCUGCAUUAGCUAGUUGGUAAGGUAACGGCUUACCAAGGCAACGAUGCAUAGCCGACCUGAGAGAGUGAUCGGCGACACUGGAGCUGAGACAGGGUCCAGACUCCUACGAGACGGAGCAGAAGGGAAUCUUCGGCAAUGGGCGAAAACAUGACGGAACAACGCCGAGUGAGUGGUGACGGUCUUCGGAUCGUAAAAAUCUGUUAUUAGGGAAAAACAUAUGUGUAAGUAACUGUGCACAUCUUGACGGUACCUAGUCAAAAAGCCACGGCUAACUACGUG
rnacentral:rRNA from 1 species